rnacentral:rRNA from 1 species
UACGUAGGUGGCGAGCGUUGUCCGGAAUUACUGGGUGUAAAGGGAGCGUAGGCGGGAGUGCAAGUUGAAUGUUAAAUCUAUCGGCUCAACCGAUAGCCGCGUUCAAAACUGCAUUUCUUGAGUGAAGUAGAGGUUGGCGGAAUUCCUAGUGUAGCGGUGAAAUGCGUAGAUAUUAGGAGGAACACCAGUGGCGAAGGUGGCCAACUGGGCUUUUACUGACGCUGAGGCUCGAAAGCGUGGGGAGCAAACAGGAUUAGAUACCCUGGUAGUCCCU